CUCCGCUUGGUGUAGUUGGUUUGUAUGUCUACCCCUCACCUCCCACCACUUAACACACCACUAACAAUUCCUCAGAUCACGUUCGACUGUAAUAGCAAUUGUUAUCGAAAGGUCCCUAGUUCGAUUCUGGGAGCGGAGA